UUCCAGACUCCUACGGGAGGCAGCAGUGAGGAAUAUUGGUCAAUGGGCGAGAGCCUGAACCAGCCAAGUCGCGUGAGGGAAGACGGUCCUAUGGAUUGUAAACCUCUUUUGCCGGGGAGCAACGGGGUCCUUGCGAGGGCCCGAUGAGAGUACCCGGAGAAAAAGCAUCGGCUAACUCCGUGCCAGCAGCCGCGGUAAUACGGAGGAUGCGAGCGUUAUCCGGAUUUAUUGGGUUUAAAGGGAGCGUAGGCCGGCUUUUAAGUCAGCUGUGAAAGUCCGCGGCUCAACCGUGGAAUUGCAGUUGAAACUGGAGGCCUUGAGUGCACACAGGGAUGCCGGAAUUCAUGGUGUAGCGGUGAAAUGCUUAGAUAUCAUGAAGAACUCCGAUCGCGAAGGCAAGUGUCCGGGGUGCAACUGACGCUGAGGCUCGAAAGUGCGGGUAUCAAACAGGAUUAGAUACCCUGGUA
rnacentral:rRNA from 1 species